ACGGGUGAGUAACACGUGGGCAAUCUGCCCUGUACUUUGGGAUAAGCCUGGGAAACUGGGUCUAAUACCGGAUAUCACUGAUCCUCGCAUGGGGGUUGGUUGAAAGUUCUGGCGGUACAGGAUGAGCCCGCGGCCUAUCAGCUUGUUGGUGGGGUAAUGGCCUACCAAGGCGACGACGGGUAGCCGGCCUGAGAGGGUGACCGGCCACACUGGGACUGAGACACGGCCCAGACUCCUACGGGAGGCAGCAGUGGGGAAUAUUGCACAAUGGGCGAAAGCCUGAUGCAGCGACGCCGCGUGAGGGAUGACGGCCUUCGGGUUGUAAACCUCUUUCGCCAGGGACGAAGCGCAAGUGACGGUACCUGGAUAAGAAGCACCGGCUAACUACGUGCCAGCAGCCGCGGUA
rnacentral:rRNA from 1 species